GUGUGCCUACGGGAGGCAGCAGUGGGGAAUAUUGCGCAAUGGGCGAAAGCCUGACGCAGCGACGCCGCGUGAGGGAAGACGGUUUUCGGAUUGUAAACCUCUGUCCUCUGUGAAGAUGAUGACGGUAGCAGAGGAGGAAGCUCCGGCUAACUACGUGCCAGCAGCCGCGGUAAUACGUAGGGAGCGAGCGUUGUCCGGAUUUACUGGGUGUAAAGGGUGCGUAGGCGGCUUGGCAAGUCAGUAGUGAAAUCCGUGGGCUUAACCCAUGAACUGCUAUUGAAACUGUCGAGCUUGAGUGAAGUAGG
rnacentral:rRNA from 1 species